rnacentral:piRNA from 1 species
UGAACUUGAAACCCGAAUGGACCAGGUC